UACGUAGGGUGCAAGCGUUAAUCGGAAUUACUGGGCGUAAAGCGUGCGCAGGCGGUGAUGUAAGACAGAUGUGAAAUCCCCGAGCUCAACCUGGGAACUGCAUUUGUGACUGCAUCGCUGGAGUACGGCAGAGGGGGAUGGAAUUCCGCGUGUAGCAGUGAAAUGCGUAGAUAUGCGGAGGAACACCGAUGGCGAAGGCAAUCCCCUGGGCCUGUACUGACGCUCAUGCACGAAAGCGUGGGGAGCAAACAGG
rnacentral:rRNA from 1 species